GUCAGAUUCCUCUGAACAAAACCUCACUUCUGUGCCAAGCUGUGCUUUGGGACUUGGUGCUUUUGAGGCAGGUUGGAGACUGACUGCUGUGCACUGAUGAUCCAGGCAAAACCACUGCCCCACAGAUGGCUGCCCUGCUCUAGUCACCCCUGGGAACAGAAUUACAGUUCCAGCUGGAAAAGAGAAAUGUGAGAUACAAAAACACAAGCAAGAGUGGAAGCAACAAGGACAAGUAGGUACAUUGGAAGAAGGAGCUAUAAAAGUAUGAUAUUCACACAAAAGGCAGAACUAAGGUGUGUCAAGUAAUCUGUCAUAAGCAAGUAGCUGUUCAGGAAUGGCAAUUCUGGUAGCACCAAGGUCCAUGCUAGAAGCCUUAUAAUGAGACUGCAGCAUAGAGGAUAUUAUUGAUACUUCAAGGUUCUUCCUAAGCAUCCCUGUGCAAGUGGAUUCUCUUCCAGGAGAGUUUAUAGGAAACAUGGAGUACAGGGUAGCAGCUGUUGCUUCAGAGAAGACCUCAGUGUGUUGUGCAGGCAUUGUCUAAAAUAGAAACAUUUGGAAACAUCUGC